rnacentral:tRNA from 1 species
GCCUGAUUGGCUCAGUCGGUUAAGCAUCUGCCUUAGGCUCAGGUCCUGGGAUCGAGUCCCGCAUCAGGCU